UUUGAAGAUGAUCAGAUACAAUCCUAGCUCCGACCACAAACAUUGCCGACUGGAGAUGCAGUGGUGUUCUUGCAGGGGCAGCUUCCUGAAACCUAAGUGUUUGGGUUUCAGGGGUGAAUGGUUGCAAAGCUGAAACUUAAAGGUGUUGAUGGAAGAGCACCACUAGGAGUGAACCUGCAGCUUAAUUUGACUCAACACAGGAGACCUCACCCAGACCAGACAUGGACAGGAUUAACUGUGACUCUGAUUUCAAAUGUAUAGUCUAUGCAUUGAGUGAAGUUUGGAAGCUGAUUUAUUUAACAUAACAGACUUUUUGUGAAGGCUG
rnacentral:ncRNA from 1 species